CUAGUAUACGAAGUUUGGCACAUUUGAAAGUUUUCUAUGAAAUUCAGCACACAGCCCAAAGUCAGGGUCAUGGCCAUCUGCAGUGGACCAGAUGGCAUUCCAGCAGGAGGCACUUCCUGUAAAGGUGGACGCACCCUCAUCACCAAUGCCAAUUAUCACAGCAGCUCGGGUUGCCAUGGGUGACGCGUCUGCACCCUGCUGCCUUUCUCUUCAAGGGAGUGGGGGGGGUGAAUGGCGGGGCAUGGACAGGAGCCUGUCCCAACUUCAGUCUCAUUUCCCGUCCCAUCUGGUGCACCUGCACCCAUACCUCCCCUUGCCGUCGGUUCGCACCGCAACCAUAUGUGACUAUGGCCAUGAGAUUUUGGGGGAGAAGUGUGGUGUUGUAAGCACAGCACACACCACCAGGCAGCACCACAAGCGUUAAUAGAUCAAGAGUGAUGGCACUGCCAGAGAAGUGAUACGCACUGGUGCCACUGCACAGCAGCCAGUUCCAAGUCAGCUCAACUACCGAGAAGACUGCCUUUACAUGUGUUUUGUGCCAUGUCAUCUCCUUCUAUUGAGUCCACACCUGCCUGUCUAGUGAACAUUCUAGUGGGACAAGAACUGUUUGCUAUAUAGCCUUAGCUUCUGGAAUAGUAGUUGAACUUCAGGACCUAUUGAGUGAGCCAAUUUGUACAAAAGUGAGUAUUCAUCAAUAUAUGUGCAAGUUCUUAUCACUAA